rnacentral:lncRNA from 1 species
UGCGGUUCCCAGACUGCCUGCAGAAAGCAUACUGGCAUGAAGUUGCCUUCUUCCACCACUAGAUGGCGGAUGGAGGUCACACAUGAACGUGAAUGCCCACAUCAGAUUUAUCCACUUGACUGUUCUUCGCCAAACACACUGAGCCACGUACAGCAUGCUCAUGCUGCGAGGCUCCCCGGAUGAAGAUGACACAGUAGGGUUGUGCGGUGUCAGGUAGAUGGCGACACUGAAGCCUGCAAUGGAGGCAGGUGUUGCUUUCUUCUGAUCUCCUCAGAGAUGCUGUGUGAUCUGAUCUGAGUCAGGAGAGGAGUAGACAUUAUGUAAAUGACAGAGCGGAAGGAGGAUUGGCGUGAGAGAGGUCACUGGCAAGGACGCAGAGACUCACCAGCCCUUCUGCCCACAGUGAUCCUUUCUGUGACUGAACGUUGAUGAGUUCCAUCUUGUGCCGGCCUUGUGUGACAAUCACAGCUGCUGAGAGUUCAAGGGUGCAAUGGCAUGGUAAACAUCUGCAAUGGUAAACAUCUGGGAAAAAGCAUUCCAAGGCAUUUCACCUUUUCCUCCAGCUCGUACACACUCUUUCUAUCUCCUGCCCUGUGAUGUUCCUGGAGUAUUAUGGUGUGUGUGUGUGUGUGUGUGUGUGUGUGUGUGUGUGUUUAUUGCUACAUUUAGGGCUCACUUUUUUAACAGUCAGUUAUUCUCAGCCCUUUGACAGCUUAUGGUAACUAUCACUGCUACCACCUUUCUUACCAUCACAAUAGUCAUCACCAUCGUCACCACCAUCAUCAUUAUCUGCCUGUCAACGUGAUCACCAGCUCUCCCAUUACUGUCACCACCAUCGUCCCCUCUCACCAUUAUCAAUGCCACCAUCAUCCUGACUAUAGUAGGAUACUAUAGUCACCACCACCAUCACCACCACCUUUGCACUGGCUAGUUCUCAUGUCAACUUGACAUAAGCUAUGGUCAGUCAUUAGUGGGAAGGAGCCUUGAUUGAGAAAAUGCCCUUGUAAGGCUGGGGUGUAGGCGACCCUGUAGGGCAUUUUCUUAAUUAGUGGUUAAUGUGGGAGGACCCAGCCCAUUGUGGGUGCUGCUAUUCCUGGGCUGGUGUCCUGGGUGCUAUAAGAAAGCAGACUGAGCAAGCCAUGAGGAGCAAGCCAGUAAGCAGCACCUCUCUAUGGUCUCUGGUCCAAUUUCUGCCUCUAAGUUCCUAUCUUGAGUUCCCCCGCUUGGUUUCUCUUAAUGGAUUGCUAUUCAGGGUAUGUAAACUAAAUAAACCCUUUUCUCCCAAGGUUGCUUUUGUCUGAGGUGUUUUAUCAUAGGAGUAGUAGCCCUAACUAGACAACCAUAGUUAUCACCACUAGACUCAUUACAGUAGCAACACUAUCACCAUCACUCAUUACCAUAGCAACACUGUCACCAUCACUCAUUAUCAUAGCAACACUGUCAUCAUCACUCAUCACCUAGCAACAUUCACCCACCAUCACUCAUUACCAUAGCAACACUGUCACCAUCACUACUACUAUUGUCCUCACAACCUUUGCUAUCAAAUCCAUCAUUACCAUUAUCACUAUCUGUAAAUAACAUAGCCCUAGGUGGAAGCACAAACAAGAGGAUUAUAAUUGAUUGAAACUUAAGAUUCCUGUGUAAUUUAAUCUCAUGGCAAAAGCCAGGAAAAUGAGUGAGCCUUCUAAAGAAAGAUAAUAUAAAAAGAAGUUCAAAUACCAAUGAGUGAUGAAGGUCACAGGGGAUGGAGGAAUGUGGCUAGAGGCAGGAAGAACACGGUGCUCCUGUGGACCAGCUGGUGCUAAGUGAGGCCCAUGCAAAUGCACAGCUCGCCAAGACCAAAUGCUUUCACAGAGGCUGGGCCCAACUCAUGUGGGAAGGCAGAGUUGCUCUGAGCAGUGGAUGGAAUUUGUGAGGCACCUUGUGGAACUAGGCAUCACCAAGUGUCACCACUUUGCUGCCCUGGCACCUCAGGGGCGUCCAGAGUUACCAUUCCACCACCAGAUACCAGCUGAGCUUGCAAUGAACCAAAAUAAGGAGUUCUUUUCUGGGAUGCUCGCUUGGAGAAUAAGAAUUCAAAUUUGCACUAUUAAUAGACAGGAUCUAGCAGCCACUGUAAAUUAGUUACAUAAUUUUAAAUGGUUUCUUGGAAGAAAGUUGUCAUUGAGGAUUUCCAGUCUGUUUCUCUCAUCAUAUCACCGCUUUGGAAAACGAGGAAGCCUCUGUUAGACUGUAAGAUUGCGGAGGAGAAAAACGAGUGCCUUCCUUUCGGGAACUGUGAUAAGCCGACCGAGUCACUGAAGUAUUUUCUUAUAAUUGCCAGGCAAAUGAAUGCGCUAAUGCAGCAUCUGUAAUCAGUAGGCUGUUUACGGUUUUAGCUGCAUACUCGACCGUCUCACUCUUAGUUGGUUUGUUGGAAGGUGCUUCUUGAGCUUGAAGACCACUGUAAUCCCCAUGCCCGACUAGGCGGGGCUCAGGUGGGGGUUGGGAGCUGUAAAGGGGCAGAGAUGGAAGGGUGGGGAGAGAAGAAGCUGAGGACACAUGUGCUGGUUCAGGUGGCCAUGGACUGUCACCUCUAUCUGAAGGCCAACGACCUGUAGAUAAGAGUGGAAGGCAUAGAGGCCUUGGAGACACUGAGGAAGCCGGGACAGCACACAGACAAACAUAGCUGUAGUCUAAAAAGACCUCACCAUGGUGGAGUCACACAUUGCCCGCUGAGAGACGUCACUACAGAGGCAAUUGGCGCUCUCAGGAGAGAUAGAAGAUCCCCAAGAAUGAGGCCAGUGACCCCCGACUUUUUGUCUCCAGCCUAAGGCUCAUACAUCAUUGUUCUGG